rnacentral:RNase_P_RNA from 1 species
CGAGGUGGCCGGGUGACCGCGGCGCAAGCUGAGGAAAGUCCGGACUCCACAGAGCAGGGUGGUGGGUAACGCCCACCCGGGGUGACCCGCGGGAAAGUGCCACAGAAAGCAGACCGCCCCUCACGGGGUAAGGGUGAAAGGGUGGGGUAAGAGCCCACCGCGUCGGUGGUGACAUCGGCGGCACGGCAAACCCCACCUGGAGCAAGACCAAGAAGGGCUUCGGCCCGCGGAUGCCGUUCGAGCGUGGCUCGCGCGAGGUGUCCGGGUAGGUUGCACGACGGCGGCGGAAGUCGGCGUCGGAGGCCAUCGGCAACGAUGGUCACAGAUGGAUGGUCACCGGCUCCCGUCAGGGAGUCACAGAAUUCGGCUUACAGGCCACCUCGUCCC